GCUCCGCUCUGCCUUGCUCGGCCCCUCCCGACGCUGCCCGCCGCUUCGCUCUGCCCCGCCCCUCCCGUCGCUCUGCUCUACCGCCACGUCCCGCCCCUCCCGCCGCUUCGCUCGCAUCAUAGAAGGAGGCGGCAUGAAGAUGAGGUGUGGCGCGUGCUACUUCCUCUCUCUCCCCAAGGCGUUGCCAUCCCCAAGCCACUGUGGAUCUCGCGCUACUCCCUUUCUCUGGAAUGAUCCAAUUGGAUUUCGAGCUAAAAUGGUUUCUUUGAUCACUGGAUCGAUGCAUCAGAUUUAUGCAUGACAUGAGUUUUUGCAGAUCUUGAAUGCGAGAGAGCCAGCGUCAAUUUUACAAGGUAUAAGAUGAAGAAAGCAAGAAGGGGACUCUGACGGAACUUUUGAUCAUCAAGUAUAUAGUCGGUUCAUUGUGAGACUAACUGAACUCGGCUGCCAUCAUUCAUUUGGCACCCGUUUAAUUACUUGCAGCGUGAUUCUUGGACAAGUUCGACGUGGUUGUUGUUCCACUGACUAAAUGCUGAGUGCAUUUUUCAGUCAGUCCCCAGUCCACACAAACAAAUACAGUACGUGAAUAGUCGUAGAAGAAGCACAUGGUUGUCUAUGUAUUAUCAUUUCUCCGAUCACAUGGGUGUAGUAAUCACACAAACAUAACGUGAAUCUUGCUACGAAUUAUUGGUGAGUGUUUGGUUUUUCUUGGAAUUAUGUAGUAUGUAAUUUAUUUGUUCUGUUAAUCUAUAAUUUUCAUAAUUAUUUGUGAUUUUCUUGGCCAUUUUUGUAUUUAUUUAAGAAUUUUGUGGAUUCUUUUUACAAAUUGGAAAUUUGGAGCUUCUAUGAGUUUAGAAUUCAUCACAGAUAUCUAUGGCGAAAAUCUGUAUGACACUUACCAAACAUUACUCCUAUAUUCUAUUGAUAUUUCACUAUUUGGGGUAUUAUCCCCCCUUCCUUGUUUACCAUUCUUAUCAUAAAGGUAUGCUCCCUAUCGGAUGUUCUUUUGCCCAUCCUGCUUCCGUCGCCGCGCUGCUGGGUGUUCUUGUUCGUUGUUGCUGUGCUCAGUGACAUAGCCGUUGCUGAAAUAUACCCUGACACAGCCGUCACCAUAUCUUACAGGGGAUGAGGACGUGAGGAGAGAAAAGGGAUUCAGAUCAUUGCUGGAUGAGGUGCUGGCGGCGGUGGCAGUUACAGAAAUCGGAGAGGAGGGAGAGAGCAAGGCUCAGUAAUGCUUUCCUAGCUGUUGUUGCUAUUGUUCGAAGAAGGGACAGUGCUUCUUUUUGUGGAUUUGUACGAACAAGAUUAGUCAAAUUUAGCGUUCCUGGUUCAUUACAUUUAGCUUCGGUCAUGUCUGAAUGCAAGUUGAUGGAUGAUUCACUAGAUUCAUGCUCUUCCCACACCAUGUCGCGGUCAACCUCGGCUCCAGGAUGACAAGAGCAUCAACCAUCUAAACAGUAAAAUACUAACCGGCAUGAGACCACAAAAUAUAUAUGUGCCCUCAAGAACAACGACGUUGAGUCCUCCAGUGCAUGCUUUCUCUUUUGAUUGAUACUCGGUAUGAACUAUGAAGAUGGACAAACUUUCUCUUUUGAUUAGUAAGUGCGAUACAUGGAGAUAUUGGACCAAACAGCUGCAGCAACGGAGAUAAAAAUGGGGACAUGUCAACGAGUUCAAUUUGUUGACAAGGUAUAAGACAGGACAAGACAUGGCCUCUGCGGAUUGAGCUUGUGAGGAAGCAAGGAAGUACGGAGCCAUCAAUGGGCUCUUCGACGAGAUGACGAAAGGCGGCAAGCUUCUCUACAAUAAAUAACUUAUCUCCAGGAACGAAGGGAGUACAUGCUUUGGAAGGUGGUCAUUAGGCAAUCCAAGAUUUUGCUCACCGUGCAUCAACCACCAAAUCAUGUGUCUUCCUUGGAUGCAUAUGACGAUCUCCCAACCAACAAGCCACUAAAUGGGUUGCCUCGUGAAGUUGCAAUAGAGAAAAUUGUUGUAUAAUUGAGAUCAUCAUGUGUUCAUAAUAUAUUUUGUGGUAGCAACUGAACCAAGGAUGGAUGCUCUUGGAAAGUUUAUUUGCAAUAUAAACCAUUUGGUUUGCAAACACACCUGCUAAAACGUAGAUUGCUCUUUUUCUUAAAAUCUUAAACCUACUAUGUAAACCAGUUCUCAUUUGUAUUAUAUGUGAGUUCCAUCUGGAUUACAUCAGAAUUUAGUGACAUAGAAAUCAUAAUUGAUUUAUUCACUCUUUGAUUGUGACAUAGUACAUUUGAUUGUUCUGGUAUUCUAUUUUAUGUUAUUUGAUUUUAUCAACCUAAUCCAAUCUUCCUUUUGCAGAUUAUUUACUAAAGAAAAUGGUUUGGGGUGAAGAGUUGAAAGGCCUGCAUCAAAUGCUGCUAAUCAUGAAGGUGACCCGCACAACUCCUGUGAAACAAAGCCAACACUAUGUGGCAAGAUUGAAGAUCACAGAUAUGUUUACUUUGCUCCAUGGUCAUAUAGCAGUGUAUUGCUUCAUGCAUGCACUUUUUAUCAUUCAUCUUUUUUAUUUAAAUCUCUAUAUGGUCGUCAUAUAUGCUAUUAGAGGGAUUUCUCACUAUUUUUUAUGUGUUGUUGUAAACAGAACUUUCUCUGUACUAAUAGAUAUGUGUUCUUGUUCUUUUAAUUAUCUCUUUUUAGAUUGGUCGGGCUUUCUAGAUCAGAAGAAAUUUAUUUAGAUUGGCCUUUGGGUUUCAGAAAAUUCAGAAGAAGUUUCAUUCUAAAGAACACAUCUGAAGUUUGUGUAACAUGAGACCAGUCACUAUGUUUACGUUUGUUAAUCGAGUAUUUAGUGUUUUGCA